rnacentral:lncRNA from 1 species
UCCAGUGUAUUGGUGAAGCCUCAGCUACAUGGUCCUCAGGCCAAGCGUCUGCAGGGUCAUACUGUUGGUUCAUGGUGGCCCUGGGAGUUGCAGUUUCCUGUAAGUUUGGUAUGGCUGAACCAAGAAAGAAGGUAUAUGCAGAUUUCUACAGAAAAUAUGAUUCCGUGAAAGAUUUUGAAGAGAUGAGGAAGGCUAGUAUCAAAAUGCAAAGUGA